rnacentral:rRNA from 1 species
GCCGACGAGUGGCGAACGGGUGAGUAAUAUAUCGGAACGUGCCCAGUCGUGGGGGAUAACGUAGAGAAAUUUACGCUAAUACCGCAUACGAUCUAAGGAUGAAAGCGGGGGAUCGCAAGACCUCGCGCGAUUGGAGCGGCUGAUAUCAGAUUAGGUUGUUGGUGAGGUAAAAGCUCACCAAGCCGACGAUCUGUAGCUGGUUUGAGAGAACGACCAGCCACACUGGGACUGAGACACGGCCCAGACUCCUACGGGAGGCAGCAGUGGGGAAUUUUGGACAAUGGGCGAAAGCCUGAUCCAGCAAUGCCGCGUGCAGGAAGAAGGCCUUCGGUU